AACAUUCCUUCAGCAGAGCCACACUCUUAAAGAUUAUAAAUGUUGUCUUCAAAUAAUUGAAUAUUUGAAGGUUUGCUGGCCAAUGCAGGACUGAUUAUAAGUAAUGAUGACACAUCUGUAACUUCUAAAUGGGAAGGUCUUCGAAUGGGAUUGAAAAGACAAAGUGAUGAAAAAAUAAUUGUGAUAAUACAUACUGUUCCAGGUUUUAAACACAUACAGAGGGAAAAUGAGGUGAAGACACAAGGAAAAGACAACCAUCUAUGAGCCAAGGAGAGAGGCCUUAAAAGAAAUCAACCCUGGCAUCUUGAUCUUGGACUUCAAGCCUCCAGAAUGGUGGGGACUCACUCUGUCACCCAGGCUGGAGUGCAGUGGCACCAUCUUGGCUCACUGCAACCUCCACCUCCUAGGCUCAAGCGAUCUUCCUAUUUCAGCCUCCCAAAUAGCUGGGACCACAAGCAUGUACCACCAUGCCCAGAAUGAAUGUGGGCAGGAAGGAUCCUGAAAUAUCUACUUAGCUGCAUUUCCAAUGCUAGGUCAUACAUGGCAAUACAACUUCUGCCUUGUU
rnacentral:lncRNA from 10 species